GAUGAAGAACGUAGCGAAAUGCGAUAAGUAAUGUGAAUUGCAGAAUUCAGUGAAUCAUCGAAUCUUUGAACGCACAUUGCGCCCGCCAGUAUUCUGGCGGGCAUGCCUGUUCGAGCGUCAUUUCAACCAUCAAGCCCCAGGCUUGUGUUGGGGACCUGCGGCUGCCGCAGGCCCUGAAAACCAGUGGCGGGCUCGCUGUCACACCGGGCGUAGUAGAUUUUAUCUCGCUCAGGGCGUGCUGCGGGUUCCGGCCGUUAAAGAGCCUUUUUUACCCAAGGUUGACCUCGGAUCAGGUAGGAAGACCCGCUGAACUUAAGCAUAUCAAUAAGCGGAGGA
rnacentral:misc_RNA from 1 species